rnacentral:rRNA from 1 species
UACGUAGGCAGCAAGCGUUGUUCGGAGUUACUGGGCGUAAAGGGUGCGUAGGCGGCUAUUUAAGUUUGGUGUGAAAUCUCCCGGCUCAACCGGGAGGGUGCGCCGAAUACUGAGUGACUAGAGUGCGGGAGAGGAAAGUGGAAUUCCUGGUGUAGCGGUGAAAUGCGUAGAUAUCAGGAGGAACACCGGUGGUGUAGAUCGGCUUUCUGGACCGUAACUGACGCUGAGACACGAAAGCGUGGGUAGCAAACAGG